rnacentral:rRNA from 1 species
GAUGAACGCUGGCGGCGUGCCUAAUACAUGCAAGUCGAACGGUCGACUUCGGUCGAUAGUGGCGAACGGGUGAGUAACGCGUUGGUGACCUGCCCUGGAGUGAGGGAUACCAGGCCGAAAGGCUUGCUAAUACCCCAUGCAGUCGUGACGGAUUAGAAGGUUGCGAAAAAAGGAGAAAUCCGCUCCGGGAGGGGCCUGCGUCCCAUCAGCUAGUUGGUAGGGUAAGAGCUUACCAAGGCGAUGACGGGUAGGGGACCUGAGAGGGUGACCCCCCACAAUGGAACUGAAACACGGUCCAUACACCUACGGGUGGCAG